UACCAGCACCCCGAGUGGUCGGGACGAUUAUUGGGCCUAAAGCAUCCGUAGCCGGCCUUACAAGUCCUCCGUUAAAUCCAGCUGCUUGACAGAUGGGCUGCGGAGGAUACUAUAAGACUAGGAGGCAGGAGAGGCAAGCGGUACUCAGUGGGUAGGGGUAAAAUCCGUUGAUCCAUUGAAGACCACCAGUGGCGAAGGCGGCUUGCCAGAAUGCGCUCGACGGUGAGGGAUGAAAGCUGGGGGAGCAAACCGG
rnacentral:rRNA from 1 species